UGGGAGAUCGUCCAAUUGGCAGGACAUCAGAUUCUGGAUCUGAGAAUCAUGGUUCGAGUCCAUGUCUCCCAGCCA
rnacentral:tRNA from 1 species